rnacentral:rRNA from 1 species
GACGAACGCUGGCGGCGUGCUUAACACAUGCAAGUCGAACGGAAAGCCCCUGCUUUUGUGGGGUGCUCGAGUGGCGAACGGGUGAGUAACACGUGAGUAACCUGCCCUUGACUUUGGAAUAACUUCAGGAAACUGGGGCUAAUACCGGAUAGGAGCUCCUGCUGCAUGGUGGGGGUUGGAAAGUUUCGGCGGUUGGGGAUGGACUCGCGGCUUAUCAGCUUGUUGGUGGGGUAGCGGCUUACCAAGGCUUUGACGGGUAGCCGGCCUGAGAGGGUGACCGGCCACAUUGGGACUGAGAUACGGCCCAGACUCCUACGGGAGGCAGCAGUGGGGAAUAUUGCACAAUGGGCGGAAGCCUGAUGCAGCAACGCCGCGUGCGGGAUGACGGCCUUCGGGUUGUAAACCGCUUUCGCCUGUGACGAAGCGUGAGUGACGGUAAUGGGUAAAGAAGCACCGGCUAACUACGUG